GGCCCUGUCCUUACUUGAGACCCAGAACUCUGAAGUUGCCUGGGAACUGCAGCUUUCUGUGGUCUUCUCCAUGGGAACUCUGCAUUCUACAGGAAUCUAGAAGCCACUGCAGAACUGAAGUUUCAUUGUAGUCUUUCUUUGCUGUUCAAAAAAAUGCAUGUGUCUGCACACAUAUGCACACAUAUAUAUUUUACAUCUAUGUAAAAGAAAGAUCAUUUCAAAGAAAGAAUGUUAUCUUGAAUAGUCUUUGAGCAGUUACUUUAGUAUUCAGAAUCUAAUGGAAAGCAGAGGCGAGACCAUCAUUUUGAGAAAAUUUAUGAAAAUAUGCAUCAGCUUAAUACUGUCUUGGAAUUCAUGAGGUGGAAGCAUAGGUCAAAGCUGUUUGAAGAAAAUUGGAAGUGCACUUUAAUAGCCACAUCUCCAAGGCCACACCUAGAAGAACGGUCAGAUGCUUUUCCCAUCCAGGCAUCUCUGCAACCACUGAUUCACCUCUCCUGUGUAUGUGUUCUGUGUGUCUGUGUGAGUA
rnacentral:lncRNA from 1 species